UAGCGUACGUUCCGUUCGUCCCUGCAGGCCCUGCCUCUUCCUAUCCCUCCCUCUCCUGCCGCUGUACCUCACACACACAGUGUCCGGAGCUGGCGAGCCAGGCGAAUCGACACCGGGGUGCGACGAGGCUUCCUACGGCCAUUAAUGGGAGAGGAAGUGCGAUGUGGCUUCGCGCCUCGGCCUCAACUCUCCAGGCGCCGGCGGUGCGAGCGGCACGAUAACGACCACCAUCGGAGGCCUCUGGAGACAGAAUCUACACCGUGGAUGCCCUUUUUCCUUUCCUCCCGUCGAGGUAUGAUGCUGCCGUAAAUCUUACUCCGUAGAUUGGCUGAUGAGGAUCGUGUUCCUCCAUUCCUUCUGUGCAGAUUUCUCAACCCGGAUCGCUAAAUUAAUUGUGUCUAACCUUAAAUUGUGCUUAGAUCCGUUGAGGAGAUUUUUCUUUUCUUUUGUUUGGGUAGUGCCCGUUCACCACUAUGAUAUGGAUUCUCCUACUAUCAAUUAGGAAUCACUUAUAUAUAACAUAUGAACAUGAAUUUAUCUUGUAUUACGCCUCUGUUGGUUUGAGUUCGUUUGUCGACAAUUCCUUCAUUAAAUCGCAGUUUCUACAUGCCAUUACUGGUAAUCAUAUGUGCUGCUCGAGUUCUCCUAUAAUCGCAGGUCAGUUACAUCGUCGAUUCAUGCCGUCUUAUCCCGCAGCCAUGAUUGAUGCUUACUUGUCUUGCCCAUGGACUGUCUAACUUACUUCCUAUCUCUCCUUUUCCCCAAACUUGUGCAUAUCCAUUUUCUUAUUUAGACUAUUCUUUUUGUUCCAAAAUGAAUGCAGGUUUUUAAGCUGGUUGGAGCUUGUGGUUUGCUCUUUCCUGGUUCUGCUUGAUUAAAAGGUGAACCACUGCUUUGAAGUUGAUGAUUUGUGGGCUGACUGUUCAUUUUGAAUCUUAUUAAUUUCUAUCUGCAAAAUCAUAUGUCAGUACUUGCCUAGAUGACCUGCACUCAACAAGGAAGAUAAAAUAUGUGUUUGAGCUAUGGGAGUUAAAAUUAAUUGUGCAUGAGAUCUGUUGUUUUUUCAUACUCUGAAUUAUUGGUGAAGGUCAGGUCAGUACUAAUCCUAUAAUUUAAUUGUGUUUCUCUUGGUUCAUAGAUGUUCAAAUCUGAAUUAUUUGACUCAAUUCAGUUUUUCUGAAUGUUGUCUACAAAAUUGCAUCACUACAGUAUGCGAAUUCACUAUGCAUCAGUUUUCAGAAAGACAACUUAUGAAUAUGACGCGUCUCCAUUUCAGUACGAGUUUGAAUUUGGAGGCACUAAAUAUUUCUAUAUGACUUGUAUCACAUCAGUGGUUGGCUUACAAGUUAUUUAGUGAUUACUUCCAGACUGGUCCAUACAAGUUCACCGUUUCUUCAUGUUUUUGGUUAAGAUAUUUGACUACUAAGCUCCCUUUAAAUAAACUGGUUGUGCAGCGUCAUUGACUAUCCAAAUUUAAACAUGCACAUCUUCAAAUGCAUUUGUAAACCUUUGAUGAUUCUCCUCGAUGCAACCAAUUCAUGGGCACUUUCCUGCCCUCGACGUCUGCAGUUGUGCUGACGAAGUUUGAAUACUAAUCUGAAGUAUUUGUGUUGUCGUGAGAAGAAAUGUAGAGAAGUGAUCAAUGAGCGGCUCAAGGUGCUGCAGAACCUUAUCCAUAACGGAACCAAUGUGGAAAUCAGCAUGAUGAAGUUCACUACAUCAAGUUCAUGCAACUCUAGAUCAUAUCGGGUUCUUGCAAAAUUACAAUCACAUAUUACCUUUAUUUAAUUAAGAAUCUCGUGAUCUCUUUCAUGACUGCAUUUUUUUAUCUUUAGAAAUUUUUCUAUGCAAAUUAUACAUUCUAUUGUAAAAUGAGACAGGCAUGGCAACAUGCACUACUUUGAGGCGACACUUCAUGAAAUUUAAUUUUUCA